GAGAGAGAGAGAGAGAGAGAGAGAGAGGAACGGGGAAGAGGAUGUGGGAGAGCUCUGGGGCAUUCCGAGGAGAUGGACACACCGGAGAGGAGCAAGAUCGGUGGCACGCCGCUAUCUAAGUUCGAGGAUUCUCCUGUCUUUAACUUCAUCAAUAGUUUGUCUCCUAUCCAGCCUGUUAAAUCUGUAGAUUCAAUACACACUGAGCAAUCUUAUCUGCAACCUGUUUCUUCUAUUUUUACUUCACCACAUGCAAAUCUACAAAGGGAAUCAAGAUUCUUGAUAAGGAAUUCUUUAUCAGAGUUCUCAAAAGAUGAGAGUUCUUCUGAUAAUGUGAAUGAAAGCAACCUAUGUACAGGGGUCCAAAAUGCUGUUAGCCUAUCCAGAUGCACUGUUAUUGCACAAGAAAACUGCAGUGUAAUAUGCUCACUUAAUGAAGCAACUGUUGACCCUCCUGAUGAAUGUUCAAUUCUACCUAGUAAUUUGCCUCAGUCUGAGCAGCAUGACUCUGGUAGUCCCGACCAUAAUACUGCACCUUGGUAUGAUAUCAAAAUGGAUGUCACAUUGGACAUUGACCGUGCACCAGUAGAACUGGUUCAUUUUGUUCAAAAUGGUCUGGACAAAAGAAAAAGUUUACUUGCUUCUGAAUCUGAGUUUCUGGAAAAUUAUCCACUAGAGCAAAACAAAGAUGAAGCUGUAGGGUGCGACUGGGUGAAUUUGAUAUCUGACAAUGCUGAUGUUCCAUUGAUUUUUGAUUCCAACAAUGAAUCAGAGGUUUGCAGAGGACCGAUCGAGGAAUUAGGAGAUUCAUCAAAGCCUGCACAGGACCUGGAUAAUUCACAAAAAACACAACCUGAUGAGUCUUUUGGUCCGUGUGUCCAAAAUGCUGCACAGGAUCCUCCAGUCAACCAUAGUGCAGAAAAUGGUAAGGAAGAUGAAACAGCUCAUACCCUGCAAAUUCUCUCAGGCACUUGUCAGAAUCAGGUAUUGUUAAGUAAUGGAACCAGUGAUCAAAUUCAAUCGGGCCACAAGGUUGAGUCCCAGCAACAGCGUGGCAUUCGAAGGCGCUGUCUGGUUUUUGAUAUGGCUGGAAUUUCUAAAAAGAAUUUGCAAAGCAACUCAAACCAACAUUCUUCAAGCUCAUUGCUGUCCAAUGAGAAAAUGGCUUCUGAUGAUAAAUGCUCCACGCCUGGAACUAGUCAAGCACCAUGUGUGUUGCCUGGAAUUGGGUUACAUUUGAAUACUCUUGCAACAACCUCAAAAGAACGACCAGUCACUCAGGAGAUGCUGGCUUCUGGGAAAGAAUUAAUCAGCAUGCCUUGUCCAGUCGGCCCCUUUGGCCCAACAACAUCUGGGUGGAAAGGUAAGUCGUUGGCUGUUGAAAAGGAUGUGAGUCCAACUGAAAAUGAAGUCCAGAACCUUCAGAUUAUGCAUAAUGAUGCUUCUCAGGCGCCUGCACUUGGAAAUGGUGAGGAGCUAAAUCAAGUUAGUCCAAAGAAGAAAAGGCGCAAGUCAGAACAUGGUGGUGAAAGUGAGGCAUGCAAGCGUUGCAAUUGUAAGAAGUCAAAAUGUCUGAAACUUUACUGUGAGUGUUUUGCGGCUGGAGUCUAUUGUUCUGAGCCCUGCUCAUGCCAGGGAUGUUUUAACAAGCCAAUUCAUGAGGAAACAGUUCUGGCUACUCGCAAGCAGAUAGAGUCUCGUAAUCCUCUUGCAUUUGCUCCUAAAGUGAUUCGCACAUCUGAAACUGGCCAGGAAAUGGGGGAAGAUGCUAACAAGACGCCAGCUUCAGCCCGCCAUAAAAGAGGAUGCAAUUGCAAGAAGUCAAGUUGCCUGAAGAAAUACUGCGAGUGCUAUCAGGGUGGUGUUGGAUGCUCUAUCAGCUGCAGAUGUGAGGGAUGCAAGAAUGCUUUUGGAAGGAAAGAGGGUAUUGUACUGAUAGGAGCUGAAGAAAUUGAACAGGGAGAGCACGAAACAGAUCAUUGUGAAAGGGAAAAGGACAAACCAGAUGAUGAUGGUCAACAACAUGCUACUGUGCAGAUUGAUGAGAAUAAUUCUUCUGAAGGUCUUUUAUCCGUGACUCCAUUGCAAACUUGCAGACCAUCCGUCAAACUGUCAUUCUGUUCAAGUGCAAAGCCCCCAAGAUCUUCGACACUUCCUGUUGGAUUUUCUCCUUGGUUAUAUACGUCUCAGCAUUUCCAGAAGUCUGAAAUCCUUCCUCAACAUAAGCUUGAGAAGCACGUAAAUACUGCACUUGAGGAUGAUACUCCGGAUGUCCUUAGAUGCGAUGCACCACCAAGCAAUGGUGUGAAGACUACUUCCCCUAACCGAAAGAGGGUUUCACCUCCACAUAAUGGAAUUGGAUUGCUUCCUAGUCGCAAGGGUGGCAGGAAAGUGAUCCUAAAAUCUAUUCCUUCAUUCCCAUCACUCACUGGUGAUGCAUCUGAAGAUUAUCCAUGAACUAUUCCAACAGUUUAUUUUAAUUCAUCUACGUGUGGCUGAGGUUGUUGUGAAGUUGCAUGGCUGGGUGGCAUGAGAUUGAGAAAGAAGACUUCCACAUGUUGCCAUCUCUCACUUCAUAAGAAUCCUUGCACUGGACGAAACUCUAGUGUUACCUGGUAACAGGUGAAGUAUAAAUAGCAAUGGUCAGUCAUGGUUAAAGAACUGAGCCAUGUCUAGAUUUUUCCUGUUGUAUGAUGCCUGUCUGAUACUUUUCUCUUCAUCUUUGUUCACGUGUACUGUCUUCCUACUUCAGUAAAUUUAUGAAGAGACCCUUGUCUAUUGCACUUCUUUUUUUCUUUUUCUCAUUGUAGACAGAAGAUGAUAGAUGCCUAAUUCUCUCAACUGUUAUGGUGCCACUAUAGCUGGUAGGAUGAUGAAUAAACCUUCUGCAUCUGGCUUGGCAAUUCGUUCAAGGUGGUACAUUUCUAUUUGUUCAAGCCAUGCCUCCCCUUGGUUGUGGCUAAUCAGAGAUCUAAUUCAACAUAUGGACUAGGAUCUUUGGCUCUGUUCUUUGGUGGCGCAGAUGCUUUAUGCAGGGAUUUGUAAAUAAACAUGGAAAUUGAAUGAUGAUAUCAAUUAUACGAGGCGUAGUUGUGGAGUUGGUAAUUGGGUGAAUAAGCAUAGGGAGGCUUACAAUGGUCGCUGCAGAUUGUGCUAAAAGAAUUUCUAUUUUGUAAUUUUAAGAUAAACCUACUUGGGUGAUGUCUGUUUGAAAGUGCAAGCACUAAAAGGUAUGUUUGGUUGCCCGGAGAUGCUUAGAAAAGCCCAGUUUGAGCCAGGUUGAGGCUGCUUAAUGCACAAUAGCAGAAGUGCGUUAGAACAGGCGAAAAGUCCAUGUGAUGAACAUGUCAUACCAUGGCAUAGGGCAAUGAUAUAUUACUGAAAAAUAUAUAAAGUUUCAACA